ACACAUGAUGAGGGCACUUUCAUAAUAACUCUUUGUACCUUUCCCAUGCCAAAUACAAGGACUCAUCAUCCAUUUGUUAGAAGGCAGUGAUCUUGUUCCUUAACUU
rnacentral:snoRNA from 1 species